CCUACGGGAGGCAGCAGUGGGGAAUAUUGCACAAUGGGGGAAACCCUGAUGCAGCGACGCCGCGUGAGUGAAGAAGUAUUUCGGUAUGUAAAGCUCUAUCAGCAGGGAAGAAAUAGCGACCUUUGGGUCGCCAGACGGUACCUGACUAAGAAGCACCGGCUAACUACGUGCCAGCAGCCGCGGUAAUACGUAGGGGGCAAGCGUUAUCCGGCUUUACUGGGUGUAAAGGGAGCGUAGACGGCAGCACAAGUCUGAAGUGAAAUGCCGGGGCUCAACCCUGGACAUGCUUUUGGAACUGUGGUGCUAGAGUGCAGGAGAGGUAAGUGGAAUUCCUAGUGUAGCGGUGAAAUGCGUAGAUAUUAGGAGGAACACCAGUGGCGAAGGCGGCUUACUGGACUGUAACUGACGUUGAGGCUCGAAAGCGUGGGGAGCAAACAGGAUUAGAUACCCUGGUAGUC
rnacentral:rRNA from 1 species